UACAGAGGGGGCAAGCGUUAUUCGGAAUUAUUGGGCGUAAAGGGCGCGUAGGCGGCUUUGCAAGUGGCGGGUGAAAGCCCUCGGCUUAACCGAGGAACUGCCUGUCAGACUGUGAGGCUUGAGACCGGGAGAGGUGAGUGGAAUUCCCAGUGUAGCGGUGAAAUGCGUAGAUAUUGGGAGGAACACCAGUGGCGAAGGCGGCUCACUGGACCGGAACUGAUGCUGAGGCGCGAAAGCGUGGGGAGCAAACAGG
rnacentral:rRNA from 1 species